GCCAGUCUGCAUGGAGCCGACCUUGAAAUACCACCCUUUAAUGUUUGAUGUUCUAACGUGGACCCGUUACCCGGGUUGCGGACAGUGUCUGGUGGGUAGUUUGACUGGGGCGGUCUCCUCCUAAAGAGUAACGGAGGAGCACGAAGGUUGGCUAAUCCUGGUCGGACAUCAGGAGGUUAGUGCAAUGGCAUAAGCCAGCUUGACUGCGAGCGUGACGGCGCGAGCAGGUGCGAAAGCAGGUCAUAGUGAUCCGGUGGUUCUGAAUGGAAGGGCCAUCGCUCAACGGAUAAAAGGUACUCCGGGGAUAACAGGCUGAUACCGCCCAAGAGUUCAUAUCGACGGCGGUGUUUGGCACCUCGAUGUCGGCUCAUCACAUCCUGGGGCUGAAGUAGGUCCCAAGGGUAUGGCUGUUCGCCAUUUAAAGUGGUACGCGAGCUGGGUUUAGAACGUCGUGAGACAGUUCGGUCCCUAUCUGCCGUGGGCGCUGGAGAACUGAGGGGGGCUGCUCCUAGUACGAGAGGACCGGAGUGGACGCAUCACUGGUGUUCGGGUUGUCAUGCCAAUGGCACUGCCCGGUAGCUAAAUGCGGAAGAGAUAAGUGCUGAAAGCAUCUAAGCACGAAACUUGCCCCGA
rnacentral:rRNA from 1 species